CGCCAGCCCUCUCCCACCCACAUCGCCGCCCCACCCACAUCGCCGCCGACGCCGCUCGUCAGACCUCGCCGCCACGGACUUCUCUCCUCAUCUCCCUCGCACCACGCCGCCCGCAACCUCCCUUCUCUCGUCAUGAGAAGGGACGGGAAGAGAAGAGGGAGAGCGAGCAGGUCAGGCGGCGGCCAUGGCGCUCGCAGAUCCGCCAGAGCUGUUGUUCGACCCUGGCCUCCGAGUGCUUCUGCUCAGUGGCGUGACGUACGGGCUGCCUGCUUCGCGCUCAUGCCAUGGCCUGCUUGGGACGCCGCCUCCUGCUGCUCCAACCCUAACCCUAGCAUUGCUGCUGCUGCUCCAUGUGCGCCCCCUUCCUUUGUCUCCUCUUGUUCAUACGCCAACAUGUGAGAGCUGGGAGGAAGGGCUGGAGGCCAUGGAGGUCAUGGGGGAAGGAAGAAGAGGAGGACAUGGUCAUAUGGAGGUUGUGGGGGAGAGCCAGAUAGGAAUAGGAGGCAACUGGGGAGGAAGAAGAUGUCCCCCUCGUUCCUAAUUUUGUCUUCGCGUAAUUUCAUUGCAUGCCACUUGUUCUUCUGGUCACUUCGCCUUAUCAGCUGCUUCACAAGUCUAUUUUUUUCCAUUCUCGCUCGUUGGCUGCUGCUCAUCAGUGAUAUUUCUUUGUUUUUCCUGAUUGGUCCGUUGUUAUCGGAUUCUUGUGCUUUUAGUCUAUCCCCUGGCUGGUGCCUGCUUUGAUAUGUGCUUGCGCAUCGUCUGGUAGCAGCCUCAUGCAUCUCCCUUCAUGGAUAUGCAGGGAUGGGAGGGUUUUAUAAUUCUAAUGAUGUUCCAGCUAGGAGAAGGCAAACUCACAAACAUAAGCCAGGCAGAUCAUGGAGGAGGCCGCGUCGGGCUCGCUGUGUUGCCAUCAUCGGGACGAGUGGAGGCUGCCGCUUGCGCAGAUGCUUCCAGGAGGAGCGCCAGAGCGCAUUGUCGCCAUCGAUAGGAGGAACACCAGACGGGAAUCAAGCCAAGGGAGCUGGACCUAUGGUGCUGCCAGCGCAGCACUUAAGGGCUUGGAGGUUGACAAGGCGAAAGAGGCCUGUUGUCAGCCACCAAAUUAUGAUGUUGAGUACUGCCCGAGCGGAAGAUAGCAAGGCGGUUGAUGUAGGAUAUGGAGUAAGCAGAGAUAGCGGCAGUGGACGCAACUACCACGUCGGUGGGCGCACCAGAGGCACAACACAAGGACAUUCAAAAGGCAGUGACUGUUUGCCUCUGCUGUAUCGACGACCCUGAUCAUGUUGGACAGAUAAAUAAGAUAUUACUAGAUGUGAAGUUCUUUCCUCUACAUGGACGGGUGCGGCAAUCGCACGCAUUUGUGAUCUAGGAUAAAUGCUUUUGCUUUAUCAUAGGCCACUAAACAUGCUAAGCUUGAGUGGCUGGAACACACGCUUUGCGGGAGAAGCACGAGGCGCUGCACCUCUGACCCUGUAGUGCUUGGCUCCAAUUCAUCAGGGAAGACGCCGGCAAGCAUCAAGCUGCCCUUGGUGCUUCCUCGUCAUCAAGGAGGAGGACGUCAGGAAGCGCCGUCCUCAAGGUUGCCAUCGCUCCUCGGCGCUCUGCGGGCACAACCGUCACCACACCACAGAGAAGGACGCGGAUGUGAUGCUGCUCCUUCUUGUGGUGUAUGCGUCGGCGUGGCUUGCGGUAAUGAGGCAUAUCCUCGUGGGUAAUGCUAUUUGAAGACCAUUCAUGUGAUUUAAAAGAGAAGAUGUCCAGAAUGUCUAAGGAGGUUGAAGAUGACGAUCAAAAGAUUGAUCCAUUAAGUGACUGCCAAGAUGCCAAUAAUGCUUGCCCCGUGCCAUUAGUAAUACCCUUGCUCUUUAUGAAAUCUUUCCUAUUAUAUAUUGAUGCAACAAUUAUCGUUGCAGUUUGUGAGAUCCUUAUUUACAUACAUCACUCAGCGGCUGGCCUGUACAGAGUUGCGUGGCAGGCAUAUGUGUUCCCAACCAUGUUAUCAAUUGUAGGCUUGGAAUGAUUUGCGUCAUCCAAGUGUUGUUUGUCAACAAUUCCUUUUUUUGUCCAUGUCGAUUCUGAUUUUAGAGGACACAUAUGUUUCGGAACUAUAUUGUUUCUAUGUUUUUCCCUGAUAUAUACUAAUUGAUGCA